GCUGGGCUUUGCCUCGCUCUGGGCUGGGCAGGCGCUGGCUGAAGUGGUCCCCACUUUCAGUAACUGCGCACACUAUUUCUACAGAGGAAUUGAGCCCAAAGGGUUUGACACUAGAAAGAGAGUUAAGAUUUGCCAGAAAUAUGAAGGAAUAUAUCAUUUUGCAACCUUUUACGACACGAGCAGCCGAAUCCCAGUUUGGUCAGCUUACACUAUGACUGAAGGAAAUUGCACAGAUGCACCCGCAACGUGGAUGGUGGAGCCGCAGCUGGCUGAUUUAUCAGAGGCAAACAUGGAGACAGAAGGAAACCUGCUUCGAAAGCUGAAA